rnacentral:rRNA from 1 species
CCUACGGGUGGCAGCAGUGAGGAAUAUUGGUCAAUGGGCGGGAGCCUGAACCAGCCAAGUCGCGUGAGGGAAGACGGUCCUACGGAUUGUAAACCUCUUUUGCCGGGGAGCAACGGGGUCCUUGCGAGGGCCCGAUGAGAGUACCCGGAGAAAAAGCAUCGGCUAACUCCGUGCCAGCAGCCGCGGUAAUACGGAGGAUGCGAGCGUUAUCCGGAUUUAUUGGGUUUAAAGGGUGCGUAGGCGGAUCGUUAAGUCAGUGGUCAAAUUGAGGGGCUCAACCCCUUCCCGCCAUUGAAACUGGCGAUCUUGAGUGGAAGAGAAGUAUGCGGAAUGCGUGGUGUAGCGGUGAAAUGCAUAGAUAUCACGCAGAACCCCGAUUGCGAAGGCAGCAUGCCGGCUUCCGACUGACGCUGAAGCACGAAAGCGUGGGGAUCGAACAGGAUUAGAUACCCUUGUAGUC